AGAGUUUGAUCCUGGCUCAGGACGAACGCUGGCGGCGUGCUUAACACAUGCAAGUCGAACGAGAAUCUGUGGAAAGAGGAUUCGUCCAAUUGAAGCAGAGGACAGUGGCGGACGGGUGAGUAACGCGUGAGGAACCUGCCUUUCAGAGGGGGACAACAGUUGGAAACGACUGCUAAUACCGCAUGACACAUAGGUGUCGCAUGGCACUUAUGUCAAAGAUUUAUCGCUGAAAGAUGGCCUCGCGUCUGAUUAGCUAGUUGGUGAGGUAACGGCCCACCAAGGCGACGAUCAGUAGCCGGACUGAGAGGUUGAACGGCCACAUUGGGACUGAGAUACGGCCCAGACUCCUACGGGAGGCAGCAGUGGGGAAUUUUGCGCAAUGGGGGAAACCCUGACGCAGCAACGCCGCGUGCGGGACGAAGGCCUUCGGGUUGUAAACCGCUUUCAGCAGGGAAGACAUAGACGGUACCUGCAGAAGAAGCUCCGGCUAACUACGUGCCAGCAGCCGCGGUAAUACGUAGGGGGCGAGCGUUAUCCGGAUUCAUUGGGCGUAAAGCGCGCGUAGGCGGCCCGGCAGGCCGGGGGUCGAAGCGGGGGGCUCAACCCCCCGAAGCCCCCGGAACCUCCGCGGCUUGGGUCCGGUAGGGGAGGGUGGAACACCCGGUGUAGCGGUGGAAUGCGCAGAUAUCGGGUGGAACACCGGUGGCGAAGGCGGCCCUCUGGGCCGAGACCGACGCUGAGGCGCGAAAGCUGGGGGAGCGAACAGGAUUAGAUACCCUGGUAGUCCCAGCCGUAAACGAUGGACGCUAGGUGUGGGGGGACCAUCCCCCCGUGCCGCAGCCAACGCAUUAAGCGUCCCGCCUGGGGAGUACGGCCGCAAGGCUAAAACUCAAAGGAAUUGACGGGGGCCCGCACAAGCAGCGGAGCAUGUGGCUUAAUUCGAAGCAACGCGAAGAACCUUACCAGGGCUUGACAUAUGGGUGAAGCGGGGGAGACCCCGUGGCCGAGAGGAGCCCAUACAGGUGGUGCAUGGCUGUCGUCAGCUCGUGUCGUGAGAUGUUGGGUUAAGUCCCGCAACGAGCGCAACCC
rnacentral:rRNA from 1 species